UGCCAGCCGCCGCGGUAAUACGGAGGGGGUUAGCGUUGUUCGGAAUUACUGGGCGUAAAGCGCGCGUAGGCGGCUAUUUAAGUCAGAUGUGAAAGUCCACGGCUCAACCGUGGAAGUGCAUUUGAAACUGGAUAGCUUGAGUACUGGAGGGGGUGGUGGAAUUCCCGGUGUAGAGGUGAAAUUCGUAGAUAUUGGGAAGAACACCAGUGGCGAAGGCGGCUAACUGGCUCGGUACUGACGCUGAGAUGCGAAAGCGUGGGGAGCAAACAGGAUUAGAUA
rnacentral:rRNA from 1 species